CUAUAAAGGUGUCGCCAAAGGAGAUUAACAUUUGAGUCAGUGGGCUGGGGAAGGCAGACCCACCCUUAAUCUGGGUGGGCACCAUCUAAUCAGCUGCCAGCAAAUAUAAAGCAGGCAGAAAAACGUGAAAAGUCUAGAUGGGCCUAACCUCCCAGCCUACAUCCUUCUCCUGUGCUGGAUGCUUCCUGCCCUCGAACAUUGGACUCAAAGUUCUUCAGCUUUGGGACUCAGACUGGCUUUCCUUGCUCCUCAGCUUGCGGACGGCCUACUGUGGGACCUUGGGAUCGUUUAUACUUUAAAGUGUACUCCCUUCUCUAUCCUAUCAUGAGGACUGGACAGCCUCCACAGAGAUGGCUGGACAAAGCAAGGGAAUUUACUUAGGUAAGACACCAUUUCUCUUUACUCUGAAAUCCCUGCAAAUGUAGUUAUUCCAGAGGAGACUGUGCAAUGACUGAUGGGUUUAGCAUCCUACAUGAGGGGAAAUUGCCAUUCCCAGCUGUAAAAUGAACAAAUAUCCAGUUAUUUUUU
ensembl:lncRNA novel transcript